CCUCAGGCUGGAUGCUUCAACCAACAAUGAUCUCAUACCUGACAGAAAUGAAGACAGUAGAUUCGGAGAUAUCACCUGUGUGCAAGGGCUCCACAUGAGGCUUUGUUUCAGUUACCUGUGGUCAAUCUUGGUCUGGAAGCAGAGGAUCCUCCUUCUGACAUACAGUCAGAACAUCAUAGUCACCUAACACUACAUCACAAUGUCUACGUCAUUCACCUCACUUCACCUCAAUCACGCAGGCCUCUAUCAUCCCAUGUCAUCGCAAGAAGAAGGGCAGGUGCCUGAAGGCGGGACUUGAGUGUUACUCAUUGGUCUUCUGCAGCACAUGGAUCGGGGCCGAGCACAAAAUAGUUGCUCAAAUGUAUUCAUUGCAUCAAAAUUGCUGAAGAGUCGCAUCUUGCAGACAGCGUGAGAGGAGCUGUGGUGGAUCCGUGGCCAAGAGUCUGUUGGGAGCAAUGGACAUAAAAACCACCAACUAUGAUGUCCAGCAUAAAGGUCUUGAAAGGUCAUUUUCAGAGGGGCAGAAUGAAGUGUGCUAUGCUUACCAAAGCCUGAAGGACUGCAUGCUCUGAGGAUAGCAGUUUCAUCAAGGGAAUUCGGGAAGACUUCACGGAGGUGGCAUUUGAAUUGGGUUUUGAAGGCUUUGUCCAUAUACGUCAAGUCCAAUGAUUUUCAAAAUGUUCACGUGCAAGGCAUCAUUCAGUUGUUUAGGAAAAUCUUACCAAGAGCUUAGUGUAUGUCACAGGGCAGAAGUAAUGAUACUUACCUUCUGGAUAAAAGGAUGCUUCUCUGCAUCGCAGGAAUUCAGAGACACCUCCUCCCCACUUGGGCUUCCCAAGGGACUCUGUUACGCC